rnacentral:rRNA from 1 species
AUGAAGCCGGAAUUGCUAGUAAUGGCAGGUCAGCAUACUGCCGUGAAUACGUUCCCGGGCCUUGUACACACCGCCCGUCACACCAUGAGAGUUGGGGAUACCCGAAGCCUGUGAGCCAACAGUUAAAUGAGGCAGCAGUCGAAGGUAGAAUCAAUGAUUGGGGUGAAGUCGUAACAAGGUAAC